rnacentral:rRNA from 1 species
AUUGAACGCUGGCGGCAGGCCUAACACAUGCAAGUCGAACGGUAACAGGAAGCAGCUUGCUGCUUUGCUGACGAGUGGCGGACGGGUGAGUAAUGUCUGGGAAACUGCCUGAUGGAGGGGGAUAACUACUGGAAACGGUGGCUAAUACCGCAUAACGUCGCAAGACCAAAGAGGGGGACCUUCGGGCCUCUUGCCAUCAGAUGUGCCCAGAUGGGAUUAGCUUGUUGGUGAGGUAACGGCUCACCAAGGCGACGAUCCCUAGCUGGUCUGAGAGGAUGACCAGCCACACUGGAACUGAGACACGGUCCAGACUCCUACGGGAGGCAGCAGUGGGGAAUAUUGCACAAUGGGCGCAAGCCUGAUGCAGCCAUGCCGCGUGUAUGAAGAAGGCCUUCGGGUUGUAAAGUACUUUCAGCGGGGAGGAAGGUGUUGUGGUUAAUAACCGCAGCAAUUGACGUUACCCGCAGAAGAAGCACCGGCUAACUCCGUGCCAGCAGCCGCGGUAAUACGGAGGGUGCAAGCGUUAAUCGGAAUUACUGGGCGUAAAGCGCACGCAGGCGGUCUGUCAAGUCGGAUGUGAAAUCCCCGGGCUCAACCUGGGAACUGCAUUCGAAACUGGCAGGCUUGAGUCUUGUAGAGGGGGGUAGAAUUCCAGGUGUAGCGGUGAAAUGCGUAGAGAUCUGGAGGAAUACCGGUGGCGAAGGCGGCCCCCUGGACAAAGACUGACGCUCAGGUGCGAAAGCGUGGGGAGCAAACAGGAUUAGAUACCCUGGUAGUCCACGCCGUAAACGAUGUCUACUUGGAGGUUGUGCCCUUGAGGCGUGGCUUCCGGAGCUAACGCGUUAAGUAGACCGCCUGGGGAGUACGGCCGCAAGGUUAAAACUCAAAUGAAUUGACGGGGGCCCGCACAAGCGGUGGAGCAUGUGGUUUAAUUUGAUGCAACGCGAAGAACCUUACCUGGUCUUGACAUCCACGGAAGUUUUCAGAGAUGAGAAUGUGCCUUCGGGAACCGUGAGACAGGUGCUGCAUGGCUGUCGUCAGCUCGUGUUGUGAAAUGUUGGGUUAAGUCCCGCAACGAGCGCAACCCUUAUCCUUUGUUGCCAGCGGUCCGGCCGGGAACUCAAAGGAGACUGCCAGAGAUAAACUGGAGGAAGGUGGGGAUGACGUCAAGUCAUCAUGGCCCUUACGACCAGGGCUACACACGUGCUACAAUGGCGCAUACAAAGAGAAGCGACCUCGCGAGAGCAAGCGGACCUCAUAAAGUGCGUCGUAGUCCGGAGGGGAGUCUGCAACUCGACUCCAUGAAGUCGGAAUCGCUAGUAAUCGUGGAUCAGAAUGCCACGGUGAAUACGUUCCCGGGCCUUGUACACACCGCCCGUCACACCAUGGGAGUGGGUUGCAAAAGAAGUAGGUAGCUUAACCUUCGGGAGGGCGCUUACCACUUUGUGAUUCAUGACUGGGGUGAAGUCGUAACAAGGUAACCGUAGGGGAACCUGCGGCUGGAUCACC